rnacentral:tRNA from 1 species
GUCCCCUUCGUCUAGUGGUUAGGACUCGGGAUUUUCAUUCCCGCAACAGGGGUUCGACUCCCCUAGGGGACG